GGAGAGGUGGCUGAGUGGCUCAAAGCGUCCUCCUGCUAAGAGGAAACGGUUUAAUGACCGUCGCAGGUUCAAAUCCUGUCCUCUCCGCC
rnacentral:tRNA from 1 species